CUCUGAUCAUCUCCCUGCCUCAUCUGGACUCGCUCCAGCAGCUCCAUAUCCUUCCUGUGCUGAGGACUCCAGACCCAGGCACAUCUCCAGGGCUGGAAAGCAAGAGGUUUUGUGAA